CUUGAAAGUGCUCCUCCCUUUAGAGAAGGAAUGAAAGAGAACAAAAAUAAAUAGCACUAGGUGGACUCAUAAAACUUGUCAGAAUCUUUCAAGCAUGGCAUAUGUGAUGAUUCAUGGGGUUUGCAAAACAUUACCAGAUUAAAACAAGAAAAGUCACACUGAGCGGUCAUUCUACAGUUUCAGAACCCUGUGUGGCAACAAAUCCUAAUGGGUAGGGAAACCAUGUCGCCUUUCCACCUGCCCAACACCAUGCACAGGCAGGAGGAUGCUCAGUAACAGAGCAGCGGACAUUCCAGGCUCAACUUUGUUCUUUACCCCAAGACAAGACUUCCGGAAAUUGGUUGAGAAAUAAUUUGCUCAAAUUUCUCUCCCUACAGAUUGAGCCCAUUUCCUCUAACACACUCAUCAGCAAAAAGAGAAAAGCACAGAUUCAUCAGAGCACUUAUUCUACCCUUCAGAAUUUCAGAGAUUUGAUAAAUGCAAUUUUCCUGGAGCCUUCACUUUUCUGUAAUUUAAAUGCUAAGCCCUUUCUUUAUACACCAGCUAAAAUUCACCACAUUCCCACUCUCAACACAUUCUCAUUCAAUGUGAUACCUCCAUCUUUCUGAUCUGUGACCAACCAUUGCACUUCAUUAACCAAGGGAAAACAACAGGACCUUUUCACACUCAGGAGCUAGACUGAGAUGAUUCCUGGAGGGAGGCAUUCAUCAGCCACUGAAUUCAGCCUAAUCAGGAAGACUUAUCACUCUAAUGAAACCAAUUUUGCUACAAGGAGAGAUUAUUAUUAAUUUACAACUAAAUGUCUGGCUAUCACGUCACUGAGUGAAGUCUCCACGGCUAUAUUGCUUACAAUCAAAACCAUCCCUGACAAGAUUAUAAACUUGGGGUGCAGGUGUUGCUGUGGCAUGACAGGUGAGGCCACCACCUGCAAUGCCAGAACACAUGGGAAACCCAGAUGAUGCUCCUGGUUCCUGGCUUUGACCUGACCAACUCUGGCCAUUAUUGCCACUUGAAGAGUGACUUAAAAUAAAGAAGAGAUGCAGGGAAACAUAGUCUGCACACCUAACCACCUCAAGAACACUUGAAAGUCAAGACUGACAUUGAGUGAGGAUGCUGUGAUCGUUGGAGAGAAAGCAACAUGGCUAGGACUCUGGAACUACCUGACAAGCACUGAGACUAGUAAGGUUCUAUUUAGUUUAACUCAUCUCCUUAACCUUGAUCUAAUUAUGUUUGAUGAGAUUAAGACUUGUCAGAAUAUAUUUGGCAUUUUAGAGGGAUGGCACUGCCAACGAUAUUUUCAGUAGAAACUAGGAGAGAAUUUAGCCUAAGGAAAUGACAAAAUGACACAGAAGCCCUAGGAAUGAAACGAGGGAUGAUUCUAAGAACAA